GGCCCAGGACGCGCUGCGGAGCCACAGCGAAGAGCCCCCCACAACCCAGCCCGGGCCGGGAGGGGGCGGCCGCGCGGCAUCACGGGGCGGAGGCGGGGCCGCGCCGGGAGUUGAAGGAGGGGGAGGGGGCGCGGCCUCCGGGCUGACGCGCGGGCGCCGGGGCGCGGCGCCACCCGGACCCUAGCGAUUCGGAGAGCCGGCGCGGCGACGGGCGCCCGGGCGGGUUCCGCGCUGAGCCGCCACCUCGGCCGGCUGGUCCCUGCGGCGGCGCCCGGGCGGCCCGAGGUCACGGCCCUUCGCCAUGUACACCUUCGUGGUGCGCGACGAGAACAGCAGCGUCUACGCCGAGGUCUCGCGGCUGCUGCUCGCCACCGGCCACUGGAAGAGGCUGAGGCGCGACAACCCCAGGUUCAACCUGAUGCUGGGCGAGAGGAACCGGCUGCCCUUCGGGAGACUGGGUCACGAGCCUGGGCUGAUGCAGUUGGUGAAUUACUACAGAGGGGCUGACAAACUGUGUCGCAAAGCUUCUUUAGUGAAGCUAAUCAAGACAAGCCCAGACCUGGCUGAAUCCUGCACAUGGUUUCCAGAGUCCUAUGUGAUUUAUCCAACUAAUCUCAAGACCCCAGUUGCUCCAGCACAGAAUGGAAUUCACCCACCGAUCCAUAACUCAAGGACAGAUGAAAGGGAAUUCUUCCUGGCUUCUUAUAACAGAAAGAAAGAAGAUGGAGAGGGCAAUGUUUGGAUUGCAAAGUCAUCAGCUGGUGCCAAAGGUGAAGGCAUCCUCAUCUCCUCGGAGGCUACAGAGCUUCUGGAUUUCAUUGACAACCAGGGUCAGGUGCACGUGAUCCAGAAAUACCUUGAGCACCCUCUGCUUCUGGAGCCAGGUCACCGCAAGUUUGACAUUCGAAGCUGGGUCUUGGUGGAUCAUCAGUAUAAUAUCUACCUCUAUAAGGAGGGUGUGCUUCGGACUGCUUCAGAACCAUAUCAUGUUGAUAAUUUCCAAGACAAAACCUGUCAUUUGACCAAUCACUGCAUUCAAAAGGAGUACUCAAAGAAUUAUGGAAAGUAUGAAGAAGGGAACGAAAUGUUCUUUGAGGAGUUCAAUCAGUACCUAAUAAGUGCUUUGAACAUUACCCUGGAAAGUAGUAUCUUACUACAAAUUAAACAUAUAAUAAGAUCUCUAAUCUACCUGAAUUCUUAUAUGUCAAGUUUCACGUUUUUUCUACGGGGUAUCCCAUUGACCCAGGACCAUUUGUGCGUAAGACUGGCCUUUCCCCACUGCAUUUUGAAGCUGCCUCAUGAGCGUGGAGCCUGCCAUUAGCACCAGGCACCUCCCUUACCAGAGCUUUCAGCUCUUUGGCUUCGACUUCAUGGUGGAUGAGGACCUGAAGGUGUGGCUCAUUGAGGUCAACGGCGCCCCGGCUUGUGCUCAGAAGCUUUAUGCAGAACUGUGCCAGGGCAUCGUGGACAUAGCCAUUUCCAGUGUCUUCCCACCCCCGGACGUGGAGCCGCAGCACGUCCAGCCAGCGGCGUUCAUCAAGCUGUGACCGAGGGAGGUGCUCAGAGCUGCCUCAGAAGAAGCAUGAGCUCCUGCUCCAGGGGAAGGUGGACUGUCAGGGUGGCUCACUACCAAGCCAGGACUGGAGAAAGAGAGGCAACCGGCAAAGCCGCGACAGAAGGGAGAACACCAGAAGGAAAGGCAGCUUCCCCAAAGAGCGGUGGCUCAGGGGUUCCCAGGUGGCACUCUCAGCGCUGCUGUUGAGAUGUGAGAAUGGAAGCCAGUUGCUCAGAGGCGGGGAGCCAAAUGCUCUUCUAAGGGGAAAAGACAGGGAUUUGAUUAUUUUAUGUUCUCAUCCUUUAAAAAAAAAUCCAGUUUUUAUCCUAAGGCAGCAUUGUGAGCAGCACCUCUCCUCCCUGGGGGUUGAGACUGUUGGACCUUUCGUUGGUGUCUUUCCACCUGCUGCAGCCUUAGUGCCUUAGCUCCAUGCCCAGCUGCAACCCUUCUGUCUGGGACACGGAUUGGAUAUUAUAGCGUCUGGGAGGUUGCCAGUGUGUCCCCUGCCCAUCUCUCUCCACAGCACCUGCCCGUGGAAGUCUGGACAAGCAUGCACCAACAGCGCUCGGGUUCGUGCUGGGCGCCACCUCACAGCGAGCGAAGGGGGCUUUCCUCGUCAUGUUCCUGACGGCAUUUGGUCAGUCACCUGUCAGGGCCAGUGUGGGCUAGGCACCAAAACAGCAAGUGCUGCUCUCGAUCUGCUCUGUGCAUGUUUUAGAAACCAAGCAGCAAGUUUGCCACAAACCCAUAAGCAUCAAAUAAGCAUGAGAGAGAAAACAAAACAAAACAAAAUACGAUGUCUUGCUUUACUUAGUAGUUGGGUGUGGUAGGUUUUGGAAAUAUGAUGAUCCUCACUUAUCUUUGUUUUAACCAGAAUUCUCCAUGCACUUUUGCAAAGUUCCCUUUGGCUCACUUUUUUUUUUGUUGUUUUAACUUCUGUAAAAACCCCUCUAGAGGGUAGGAGAAGUAGAGUUACACACAUAAAUACACACACACACACACCCUACCAAGUGACACUGCCCUAGACACAGGUAGCUCUCCCCCAUUUUCUUGCCCUCAAAGCACCUUCUGCAGGAGCUAGAAGGGCUCGUUUGGUUCCAGGGAAGAUUCUCUGCCUGCUUGUGCCUCUGCAUGCCAGGCGAGGGUCUAAAUGAGUGUUUGUCUGGCCUGAAUGGGGGAAUCUCCUAAAAUGGGAAAGACGUGGUUUCAGAGCUCUACACAGCAUCUUGUAAGUCACUAAAUGUGUCCUGUUAGGUGUAGUUUCCACUCACUGGAUCAAAUAUUCUGUAGUCUUUUCAGGAGGCUACAUCACUAGCAGUGGGAAGAACAAGAUGCUACUUGUGUUCCAACGUGAGCUGAAUGAGCAGGUCCUUCUUAGAAUGUACUGGGAACCACAGCAGGCCUCCUGUCCAGUACGUGCUGUGUUCUUCCUUUGUGUAUAUGUGUGCCCCAUUAUUCUUUCUGUGUGGUACCAGACAACAGUUAUACCGUCAGGGAGACUUUCCUAAAAAAGGGAAAAGAGCAAUGCCUCCUGAAACACGAUGAGAUGUGGGAGCUCACGGUGAAGAAAGGAUAAGGAGUAUUUCGUAGCAGUGGCUGUAGGACGUGGUAGCAUUAUGUCGGGGUGAAGGAGAAAGGCCAACUGGUUUGGCUCUUCUGCAAAUUGGAAUUACAAAAUACUCUGGUUACCCAGAAUACAGACAAUAGGGUUUGCAUCCAGAGUGAAAUUAAACAGCAGGGAAAGUCAGUCUUGGAAGGCCAGCACUAUUCGAUGAGUGUUUGGGGACUUUGAGCAGAUCAUGACAAGGUGCACACCCUUCUAGAAAGUGUGAGCUUGGGAAGUCUCUGUGGACUGGUGACGGGGGAAGCAUGGAGGCUUUUGUGUUAUCAUACGUGAGUGUAGGUCUGUAAUGAUCUUUUGGACCUAAAUUAAAGAGACAUUUGAGAGUUUCCUAACUCUCACAGUGACAGAGCUAAGAAUUUAGAUGGUGCAAGUCCAUGGAUCUUGACAUAAUUACUAAGAAACCUCAAUCACUGGCAUAUAUGUGAGGGACGUAAAACUUUAAAAAGAAAACUAUGCUUCAUUCCUCACAAUGUUUCAAAUAAAUAUCUAUUUCAUGCAUUAGUUUUUGAUCGGGUGGGAUCAGUUUUGGUCAGGUUGGCUCAGAAUUGUUCCAUACCCUUCCAUGAUACCUUUGGCACAGAUGGUAAUGCCUCGCCCCUCAGUCUUCCUACAUGCAGAGUGCGUAUGUGUUGCCAGUUGCUAGGGGAGGAGUGUUCUUUAUUUGGAGAUGUUAAUUCCAAUCUUCGCACUGUCAUUUGACUGCACAGUGUGAGAUGAACCCAUUAACUUCUCUGUGCCUUAGUUUCUUAUCUCAUGGAAGGGAUUGUUGCCUGACCUGGAGACUACCUCAGGGACUUCUAGUGAGGACAGGUGAGGUUAGGAAGACUCAAGAACCUGUGGUACCAAGGUUCUCAGUGCUGACUAUAUGCUGGAAUCACUUGGGGAGCUUUUUUAGAAUGUUGGUUUCUACACCCUGCCUUUCUCUCCCACCUCUGACCAAUGAAAUCAGGACCUGAGGCAUCAGUAUGCUUUGAGAUGCCUUGAACCACUGCUUAAGAAGGAAGGACAAACACACUGCUACCUUAGAAUAAUAAAAUAAGACCUAGGACUUUUUGAAAAAGUUCCUUUAGGAAGGACAGGCAUUUCUUGAGGAAUGACCAUGUUGGUCAACGCGUCGACCUACGUAUUCAUGAUAUAAGCAACUGCUGUCUAAGCAUGUUCUCGUUUUGCUUCUUGUCCAGCAUUUGUAAACUCAAAUAUGCCUUCAUUUCCUUAAACAGUUUGUGAAGCCUUGACAACAAAUGUAAACAGCCAGGAAUUCAUACAUCUGCUAAGUAUGUGUUAAGGGUAUUCGUUACUGAGAGAAAAGCCCCUUCCCUCAUUAACUCCUGUGGUAAUCAUAAACUCGAUUUUACCCAGAACAUUGAAGUGCCUCAGUGUCUGUAUGAUUCAGUGCAGCAGGUGCUGGCAUGCUUACCUGUGCACUCGCCCUUUCACUAGCACCUCAGGAUAAUUAUCCCAGACUCGGGAUAUCUGGUAGUGUCAGAAAUGUAUGGGAUCCACAGGAUUUGCAAACAGCAGCAAAGCUAGAGUGUGUUUUUGUUGACAGCCACGGUUGUGUCAAGCAGGUGUGGAUCCAGCCCUGUUGUGGGGGUGGGGGACUCUGCUGGGGAAGACAAGGGGCCAGAGUAAGUCCCCUGCGGCAUGUGGGUGCUGUGGAGAAAAUUCAGUGAUACACUUGUCUCUGAUCCUAGAUGCAGAAUCUGUACCUAAGAGGAAAUGACUUCUGAAAUAAGGUGAUUUUAUGAAUGUUUAAAAUGCCCAGAGCAUUAAAGUAAUAUUUCAAGCGUC